rnacentral:rRNA from 1 species
UACAGAGGUCUCAAGCGUUGUUCGGAUUCAUUGGGCGUAAAGGGUGCGUAGGUGGCGCUGUAAGUCGGGCGUGAAAUUUCGAGGCUUAACCUCGAAACUGCAUUCGAUACUGCGGUGCUUGAGGACUGGAGAGGAGACUGGAAUUCAUGGUGUAGCAGUGAAAUGCGUAGAGAUCAUGAGGAAGACCAGUGGCGAAGGCGGGUCUCUGGACAGUUCCUGACACUGAGGCACGAAGGCCAGGGGAGCAAACGGG